ensembl:misc_RNA Metazoa_SRP Metazoan signal recognition particle RNA
GUUGGGCAUGGUAGCACAUGCCUAUAGUCCCAGCUACUUGGGAAGCUGAGGCAAGAGGAUCACCUGAGUCCAGAAAUUCUGUGCUGUAGGUGCUACAGUGUGCUAUUCCAAUUGAGCAUCCACAUUAAGUUUAGCAUCAGGAUGAUGAUCUCCCAGGAGCAGACGACCACCAAAAUGCCUAAGGAGGAGUAACGUGACAGAGGUCAGAUAUGGAGUGGGUCAAAACUCUAUGUAGAACAACAGUAGCAUGGCACCUGUGAAUACCCACUGCAAUCCAGCCUGGGCAACACAGCAAAACACCAUCCCUUAU